GGAAUCUUCCGCAAUGGACGCAAGUCUGACGGAGCAACGCCGCGUGAGUGAAGAAGGUUUUCGGAUCGUAAAACUCUGUUGUUAGAGAAGAACAAGUGCUAGAGUAACUGUUAGCGCCUUGACGGUAUCUAACCAGAAAGCCACGGCUAACUACGUGCCAGCAGCCGCGGUAAUACGUAGGUGGCAAGCGUUGUCCGGAUUUAUUGGGCGUAAAGCGAGCGCAGGCGGUUUCUUAAGUCUGAUGUGAAAGCCCCCGGCUCAACCGGGGAGGGUCAUUGGAAACUGGGGAACUUGAGUGCAGAAGAGGAGAGUGGAAUUCCAGGUGUAGCGGUGAAAUGCGUAGAUAUAUGGAGGAACACCAGUGGCGAAGGCGACUCUCUGGUCUGUAACUGACGCUGAGGCUCGAAAGCGUGGGUAGCAAACAGGA
rnacentral:misc_RNA from 1 species